rnacentral:rRNA from 1 species
UACGAAGGGGGCUAGCGUUGUUCGGAAUCACUGGGCGUAAAGCGCACGUAGGCGGAUUGUUAAGUCGGGGGUGAAAUCCUGAGGCUCAACCUCAGAACUGCCUUCGAUACUGGCAAUCUCGAGUCCGGAAGAGGUUGGUGGAACAGCUAGUGUAGAGGUGAAAUUCGUAGAUAUUAGCUAGAACACCAGUGGCGAAGGCGGCCAACUGGUCCGGUACUGACGCUGAGGUGCGAAAGCGUGGGGAGCGAACCGG